CCUCGGGCCCCACCUAGCGGCCGGGCCUGCGCGCUGGCGGGGUCGGGCCUGCGGAGAGGGGAGGCUUGGGGGGGGGUACAGAGGCGGGAAAUGAGACCCCGAGGAAGAAGGCAAGGAACUGCGGCUUCAGGACAUCCCACCGCGCGCCCGCGGCUUUACACCCACUGCCUCACUCGGUCUUGUUUAUGGAGCCCCCCUAUGUCGUGGAAGGGAAAUUGGCAAGCAGUGAAGUAGAAGGGGCUUCCAACCUGGACUUCGGGAUUAGCACGCGGGGAGAUGCCCAUCCAGCGGACCUCCGUCUGCCUCCAGCUCAGUGGCCGCAGGCCUCAGGGUCCUCAUAUGCAACACGAUUCUGGCUUUGAAAAUCACCCUCUUGAGUAAUGACUUGUGUCCUGCUUUGGGGCUCAUAAAGUCCCCUUCCUGCCCCACCCCCACCCCCAGCACCAUCAGCCCCACACCUCCCGCCCCAACAUACCUAUUAUUAUUACGCAACCAUGACUUUGAGACAAAGCCCCUGGGUGGCUCUUUCAAGCAGAGCAAAGACACAAAUCUGUAGAGAGAAAUUCUGUGGUCUGGGAGGACCGAGAGCCCAAAGGUGCAUCCAAGAGAUGACUUUAAACAACCCCUUCCUUUCCCAACCCCAGAGGGCAAGAGGAGCUCUGGAGGAUGGGAACUGACCCACGCAGGCCAUGAGAACAUGGCAAUUUCUGCUGGAUCCCAGAUUGUUGGGGAAAGUGGAAGAGCCAUGAAGUCGACUCAUUCCCAGGACCCCAGGAUCAUGACCUGAGCCAAAGUUCUGCAGGUCAGAAGUCUACAAUCAAGGUGUUGACAAAGAUGUAUUCUCUCUGGGGACUUAAAGAGGGGAUUCGUUCCUUUGCCUUUCCAGCUUCUAGAGGCCACUCGCAUUCCACAGCUCAUAGCUCAUUCCUCAAAUCACUUCAACCUCUUACUUUUGUUGGCACAUCUACUACUGACUCCGAUCUUCCUGUGUCCCUCUUUUAUAUUAAAAUUUUUUUUUCUUGUGGCAAGAGCACUUAACAUGAGAUCUACCCUCUUAACAAAUUUUUAAGUGUAUAAUACAUUAUUGUUGUCCUGCCUGCCUCUUAUUAUAAGGACUCUUGUGAUUACAUUAGAUCCACCCGGAUAAUCUAGGAUUAUCUUCCCCAUCUCAAGAUCCUUAACUUAGUCACAUCUUCAAAGUUCCUUUUAUCAUAUACGAUAAGAUAGUAACAGGCUCCGGAGAUUACCACAGGGUUAUCUUUGGGGUGUCAUUAUUCCACCUACAACAAUCUGGCAACCCUAUGUCCAACUAUGUGACCAUAGCCAAAUCACUCAAUUUUCCAAAGCCUCUAGUUCCCCAUGAGCAAAAAGCUGAUUAAAUAAGCUCAUAAGAGGAAACACCUUGCCCCUCACCAGGCAAACCGUAUUUUUACAAAUGGCAGCUCUCAUGGCAAAGGGCAAGGAAUGAUCCUUUCCAGACCAUGGUGUCCUAGUUAUUUGAAUAAACUUCACCCAGACCCCAGACCCACUGGUGGUACGAUCAGGUUGCAAUCCCAGAUACUGCCAGCAGGAGGAGAAGAAUAUAAGUCUAGAACCUGGUCUCAAGGGCAGGGGAGGGUUGAGAGGAGAUUCAAAGAUGCCCAGAAGUCCCUGCCCCUUCCCUCAAUUAAGGGCCAUUAUUUUUGGGUCUUCCUGAUGUUACAUAUCAUGGAACUAAGUUAUCUUAGGAUUAGAAGAGUCUCAGUCAAAAAAGUUUUCAUAAAAAAAAACAAAAAAAAAACAAAAAAGUUUUCAUUUUUU